ACCAAGGAUAUUAAUGAUGAUCAGCUGAGUACGCUGCACCUCACACCCUGUGAACCAUUGGAGAACACAAGCAACUGCGAGGUGGUGAGGACCACACUACAGAGGGGGAGAUGGAGCAGACGAGCACUACAGAGGGGAGGAUGGAGCAGAUGAGUACUUCGGAGGGUCAAGCUGUCUUCACAGGGUCAGCCAGGGGCACAGUCACAAGUCCCAAAAAGAAAAAGUCAGGUGGACUAAGACAUAUGCCUGAGAGGAAAAAGCCACAAAAGAGGCAAAGCAGAAAUGUUGGUUGACUGGGAGCCCUGUCCAGUAUGUGGCAAGGAGUGGGCCUAUUCCUGGCAG